GCGUCGAUUCAACGUAACGAUCGAGAAUGUCUGAAAAUAUCACGGCGCCCGAUUAUUGUUUUUCUCCCGUUAGGUCAGCACCGCGUUAAACCGCGUCACGAGUCGGCCGUUUUGAAAACGUUGACAGAGAGUGUCGCGAUUUUUCAAAAGGGUCCCCGGAUGGCGUAUCGUUAAAACAUUGUACCACAACAGUUUACCACGGUUAUUCGCGCGACGGACGUCACGGCGACGACGGCCGUGGUGCACGUCGUCCGCACGGGGAAACACGGAAUUCGGGACCGGCGGCAACGGGCUUUUUUCCGCCCG